UAUACAUAUCCAAAACAAGAUUACAUUUCUUAACUCUAACCUUCUUAAGUCCUACAAAUCCAUAUAUAUAUAUAUACAUUCAUACGUACAUGUUUCUCUUUCUUGACUCUAACCUUCUCAAGUGUUCUUGAUUUCACAUAGACUAAAAAAUAAAGGCAAAAAACAUGUAAAAAAAACAACACAACAUGCCAUCUUCAUCAUCCGGUCCACCUAGCAGUGAUGUAAGGCCGAUUCCAUAUCUUGAUGAAUGCGAUGCCCCAAGAAGAAAAAGAAGGCACAGCGCUUCUGCCAUCUAUACUCCUCCUAAUAUAACUGCCACUCAAGCAAGGGCAACAAGACGACAUCUUCUAAAUCAGAGUCGAAUUACUAGAAAAGGGUUGACAGCUAAAACAUUGACGAAUUUCCAUACUGGACAGUUCACAACCGAAUAUGUGGAAGCAUUAAAAGCCUCAUACCCAAAUAGGUCAUACUACGGAACACCAGAUUACGAAUGCUCUUAUUGUCAUGCUGUGUUCUGGUAUGCUGAAAGGGUCAGGAGUAAUCAACAGGAUUCAUCUAUCAGAUACAACAACUGCUGCAAAGGUGGAAAAAUCAGCAUUCCUCCCUUCAAGCCUCGGCCUAAGCCUUUAGCAUCUCUUGCAAGAUUUGAUGGUGAUGCCACAUCAAGAAAAUUCAUUCGCAAUAUUAGACAGUACAAUUGUCUGUUUGCUUUUACAUCAAUGGGAGCACAAAUAGAUAACUCUGUCAAUGAUGGUCGUGGUCCACCUCUCUUUAAAAUUUGCGGCCAAGUUCACCAUCGUAUUGGAACUUUGUUGCCAGACGAUGGAUGUCCUCCAAGAUUCAUUCAAUUGUAUAUUUACGACACCACAAACGAAGUCCAAAACAGAAUAAAUGCUUUAGACAGUGGUGACAGAACCCAAGACAAUUUCGAUUCU